AACGAACGCUGGCGGCAGGCCUAACACAUGCAAGUCGAGCGAGGACUUCGGUCCUAGCGGCGGACGGGUGAGUAACGCGUGGGAACGUGCCCUUUGGUACGGAAUAGCCCCGGGAAACUGGGAGUAAUACCGUAUGGUGUCUUCGGACUAAAGAUUUAUCGCCAAAGGAUCGGCCCGCGUUGGAUUAGGUAGUUGGUGGGGUAAUGGCCUACCAAGCCGACGAUCCAUAGCUGGUUUGAGAGGAUGAUCAGCCACACUGGGACUGAGACACGGCCCAGACUCCUACGGGAGGCAGCAGUGGGGAAUCUUAGACAAUGGGGGCAACCCUGAUCUAGCCAUGCCGCGUGAGUGAUGAAGGCCCCAGGGUCGUAAAGCUCUGUCGGGGGGGAAGAAGUUCUGACGGUACCCCCCAAGAAAGCACCGGCUAACUCCGUGCCAGCAGCCGCGGU
rnacentral:rRNA from 1 species